rnacentral:rRNA from 1 species
AUUGAACGCUGGCGGCAUGCCUUACACAUGCAAGUCGAACGGCAGCACGGGAGCAAUCCUGGUGGCGAGUGGCGAACGGGUGAGUAAUAUAUCGGAACGUGCCCGGUCGUGGGGGAUAACGUAGCGAAAGCUACGCUAAUACCGCAUACGAUCUACGGAUGAAAGCGGGGGAUCGCAAGACCUCGCGCGAUUGGAGCGGCCGAUAUCAGAUUAGGUAGUUGGUGAGGUAAAGGCUCACCAAGCCGACGAUCUGUAGCUGGUCUGAGAGGACGACCAGCCGCACUGGGACUGAGACACGGCCCAGACUCCUACGGGAGGCAGCAGUGGGGAAUUUUGGACAAUGGGCGCAAGCCUGAUCCAGCAAUGCCGCGUGCAGGAUGAAGGCCUCGGUUGGUAAC